UCGGGAAUUUUGGGCAAUGGGCGAAAGCCUGACCCAGCAACGCCGCGUGAGGGAUGAAGUAUUUCGGUAUGUAAACCUCGAAAGAAUGGGAGGAAUAAAUGACGGUACCAUUUAUAAGCUCCGGCUAACUACGUGCCAGCAGCCGCGGUAAUACGUAGGGAGCAAGCGUUGUUCGGAUUUACUGGGCGUAAAGGGCGCGUAGGCGGCGCGGUAAGUCACUUGUGAAAUCUCUGAGCUUAACUCAGAACGGCCAAGUGAUACUGCUGUGCUAGAGUGCGGAAGAGGCAACCGGAAUUCUUGGUGUAGCGGUGAAAUGCGUAGAUAUCAAGAGGAACACCUGAGGCGAAGGCGGGUUGCUGGGCCGACACUGACGCUGAUGCGCGAAAGCCAGGGGAGCAAACG
rnacentral:rRNA from 1 species